GAAAAAGCUCCUAUAGGGAAUAAAUUUGGCAAGGCCUGUGAAAGAUGGGCCUGAGGUGUGGUGCAGUACAAAAUGCUUGUCUGAUGUGUACAAGGCCCUAGAUUUGAUUAUCUACAGCACCAGAAAACAUUCUCAGGAACUAAGAGCUCCUGAUCGUUAGGACAUAAGAAUAUGCUUUUAGAAUUCAGCAAUAAAAUGUAAAAUGGAUUGCCAGUGAGGAGUCUGAAAAUGAGCGGACUAGUUAAGAGCUAAUUGACAUAUUCCAGGCAAGAUAAAGAGAGGCUGGACUCAGGCAGAAGCAAUGGGAAUGGAAAUAAGGACUCCGCAUCAAGAGACUUUCAUUUCAAAAAAACAAAAGAUAUUUUAUGAGCAAAUGCAAUUGAUUGAGCACUGUGUGUUUUCAGAAGGAUGGCUCUACUGUUUUAAAUUUAGACAAAGGCCG
rnacentral:lncRNA from 1 species